CGCUGGUUAGGCACUUCCGGCGCGACGUCUGCUUGCGACUCGGCGCCCGCUUCUGGCGCGGGGGCUCCGGCCGCGGGUCGUUCUCCGGGUUCCGUUCUUCGGCCCGUGCCGCCAUGGGCAAGAAGCACAAGAAGCACAAGGCCGAGUGGCGCUCGUCGUACGAGGAUUACGUGGACAAGCCCCUGGAGAAGCCUCUGAAGCUGGUCCUCAAGGUUGGAGGAAGCGAGGUGACCGAACUCUCGGGGUCAGGCCACGACUCUAGUUACUACGACGACCGGUCAGACCACGAGCGAGAGAGGCACAAAGAAAAGAAGAAGAAAAAGAAGAAGAAGUCAGAGAAGGAGAAGCAUCUGGAUGAUGAGGAGAGGAGGAAGCGGAAGGAGGAGCGGAAGCGGAAGCGGGACAAGGAGCCUUGCGACUCAGAGGGCGACACCGGCGACUUCGAUCCAGGGAAGAAGGUGGAGGUGGAGCCGCCGCCCGACCGGCCCAUCCGAGCAUGCCGGACACAGUCAGCUGAUCUGUGGGGGCCAGAGCUGCGUCUGGUUUGCCUUUGUGCCCAGUCCUUGCUGGAAGCUAAGCCACUGCGAACCUGGAACAGAGAAACGCAUACUGUGAGAUCGGAGCUCUCCAGUGCAGUGACUCCAAAGCCUUGCUAUUCAGCUUUACUUUUUUACUUUGAAUUGUCAGCUGAGAACGAAAGCACACCUAUUCAGCAACUCCUGGAGCAUUUCCUCCGCCAGCUCCAGAGGAAAGACCCCCAUGGAUUCUUUGCUUUUCCUGUGACGGAUGCAAUUGCCCCUGGGUACUCGAUGAUAAUAAAACAUCCAAUGGAUUUUGGGACAAUGAAAGACAAAAUUGUGGCUAAUGAGUACAAGUCUGUCACUGAAUUUAAGGCAGAUUUCAAACUGAUGUGUGACAAUGCAAUGACAUAUAACAGACCAGACACCGUGUACUAUAAGUUGGCCAAGAAGAUCCUUCACGCAGGAUUCAAGAUGAUGAGCAAAGAGCGGCUAUUCGCUUUGAAGCGCAGCAUGUCGUUUAUGCAGGACGUGGAUUUCUCUCAGCAGGCAGCGCUUCUGGGCAAUGAAGACACAGCUGUUGAGGAGCCAAUUCCCGAGGCUGCACCCGUCCAAGUAGAGACGGCCAGGAAGUGCAAAAGGCCGAGCAGGGAAGCCAUCAGCUGCAUGUUUGAGCCGGAAGGAAAUGCUUGCAGCCUGACCGACAGCACAGCAGAAGAGCACGUGCUGGCCCUGGUGGAGCACGCAGCCGAUGAGGCUCGGGACAGGAUCAGCCGGCUCCUCCCAGGCAGCAAGAUGGGCUACCUGAAGAAGAACGGCGAUGGAAGCCUGCUCUACAGCGUGGUCAACUCAGCCGACCCGGAUGCUGAUGAGGAGGAGACCCAUCCGGUGGACCUGAGCUCACUCUCCAGCAAGCUGCUCCCCGGCUUCACCACACUGGGCUUCAAGGAGGAGAGGAGGGGCAAAGUCACGUUUCUUUCGAGCGCUAGCUCCGCCCUUUCCACGCACACACAUUCAGUGUUUGGCGACUUGAAAUCAGAUGAAGCAGAGCUGCUCUACUCUGCCUAUGGAGACGAGACGGGCGUGCAGUGUGCGCUGAGCCUGCAGGAGUUCGUGAAGGAUGCUGGGAGCUACAGCAAGAAGAUGGUGGAUGACCUCCUGGACCAGAUCACAGGCGGGGACCACUCGCGGACGCUCAUCCAGCUGAGGCAGAGGAGAAAUGUUCCAGCGAAGCCUCCAGAUGAAGUGAGGGCUGGGGACUCACUCGGGGAAGGCAGCUCUGUGCUGGAUUUCAUGUCGGUGAAGUCGUAUUCGGACGUCUCUCUGGACAUCUCCAUGCUUGGGUCUCUGGGGAAGGUGAAGAAGGAGCUGGACCCUGACGACAGCCACCUGACCCUGGAUGAGACGGCCAGGCUCCUGCAGGACCUGCACGAAGCACAGGCAGAGCGUGGGGGCUCCCGGCCACCCUCCAACCUCAGCUCCCUGUCCAACCCCUCCCCCUCCGACAGGGAGCAACGCCACCUGGGAAGCCCUUCUCGCCUCAGUGUUGCGCUGCCUUUGUGGCUUUUGGAGUCACCUUCAUGGAGCACAGGUACCUCUGAGGAAGGAUCAUUUCUUAAAAGGUGUGAGCAGCUGAGCCCCCCAACCCCACUGGAGGAUUGAGGUCCCCUGGGCUGGUGCCUCCCUGUCCCUGAAACCCUGGAAGCCCUGUGCCACACGGGACCUGGCUGGGGGCCUACUGCACACCAGGGGCCCGUGUGGAGGCCACCCACCCCAACAGGACUGGGGUGGCCAUCGUGGCCAUAUACGUGUCUGGCUGUUGAUCCCGAGUUAUCAAACGACAUCUUCAGGAGCUGUGAGGCCAUCCUCACGGACAGCCUUGGCCACACAUCAGCCCCAUUCAGGAGUCACAACCUCGCCACGGACCACAUCUUUCUCAGGGUGAAAGAGUGUAGUAGGACUGCCUGCUUUUGAGGGGUGAAUGCCUUUGUUUUUAGGGACCAGUGACUGUGGCUCAAAUCUUCCGCAGCCGCGGCCCCUGCUAUGCCAUUGGCUGAUCUCGGGCCUGAGACCCCAGUCAUAUGGUCUGAUUGCCUGGGGUCCCUGUGGUACAUGGUGGGCUCCAUCCACGCCACUGUCUCGGGCCUGGCUGGGCAGCACCGUGGCUGGCAGUAGCUGGCUGUGGGAAUCUGGGCUCCUGCCUCACUUGGAUGCUGUUUUUGGUCGGAGGUCAGUGCCACUUUGUUGGUGCCGACUGGGGCCUGCCCAAAGUGGGUGCUUGCUUGUAGGGGCCCUGGGAGGCAGCCACCUGCUCCACUGCCUGGUGACUGUGCUCCGGCUGCCCAUUUCUUGGGUCCCUGAGCCUGGGGAUGCCAAGAGAGCGUCUUGAGCCUCGGUCUCUGCUGCCCAUUGUCAGCCAAGGAUUCUGGGUGAGCAUCCCUGUCGACCUACAGAAGCCUUGCUCCCUGGAGAUCUGCAGGACAGCACCUCCUGACUGGGGGUACACAGCAGCUCAAGGAAGCGGGAUCCAGGUGUGAAUGCUUGAUGCUAUGGAGCCAUCUGAGCGAAACCUCUGCACGUUGCCGUGGCCGUGGAGAGCCCAGGCUGCAUUUGUUGUCAGCUCGUGCCAGGGCCCCCGUGUAUGGAGAACCAUGCGGACUGCAGCCCCAACCAGGGCGCUGCAGCCAGACCUCAUCCCAGUCAUCGGGGCAUGUGUGCCCACCCUCCAUCAUGAUGCCCUCAGGCUGUGGGUCUGACUCUAGAGGGAGUGGGCCCUGCAGCGUGCGGCUGCUUCAUGCAAUGCACAUCUUGAACAGAGGGUCUUGGUGUUUGCAGAGCCUGCACCCUCUAGGUCUUCACACAUCUGGCCUCGUGGUUCUCACGCGGUGGCAGUUUGGGUCUGUUUUAGGGUCAGAAUGCUCGGAACCUGGAGACCUGUUCUGCUCAGUCCUACAGACUCUGACGCCAGACUCGGGGGUCCACCUCAGUGAUUGUGCUCCUCCCAGGACAUGUGUGGAACCGGGGACCAGCUGCAGGCUCCCCAGCACAGGCCUGGAGUCAGCCGCCCCAGGGCGGUCACGGUCCUGCGCACGCUCGCCCUCCUCCCUGUCUGCCUCGCUGUCUGGAUGUCCCAGCAGAUACCGUGUCUCCGGCUCCUGUUCUGCACGACACUUGGGUUCCUAUCACACCUGUGACGGUUCCCGUACUCCCUGGAAUCAGGGUUCCUGGAAUUCCCCAGGAUGCUGGAACUGGUCUCUGCCAGUGUCCCUCCUGUUUGCUGGCCCUCCCAUCCAGAUGCUGCGUUUAUUUGGAGAUUGGGUCCAGUACAGAUGGCCUCUUUGUGUUCUGGGCCCCAGCACCUCAGCCUUGCUCCACAAACAUGAUGUUCUCUCAGGAUGCCCAGGAUUCUCAUGUAGGCUCGGGCCCCCAUGACCCCAAAUCCACCUGACACCCCAUCCAGAGAACGAGAGCAGGCCCCGGUUUGCUCCGAGAAUUCUCAAGGGGCGGUCCCAACGCUGGGAGCCACAGAGCAGUCCUCCCGCCUGCCAUCGCGCUGUAGUAACCUGGACUCCAUUUCCUGGGCACUGUGUUCCUGGGAGACCAGUGCUUAGUGUGGCAGGUCUGCUGCUGCUCAGUCCCACCUGUGCGGCUGACAGACGGCUUGCCCCGACACCCCUGAACACUCACGGUACCCUCCUUUCCUGAUGGCCCCGCCCCCUGGCAUCCCGGAAGCACUGCAGUUCCCUCCCAGCUGCCCAGCCCCAGACAGCUUCAGGAUGCCAGCGGGCCCGUGGCUGGCAGGCCUUCCCACCCGUGGACGGAAUGGCACAGGGCGUGUCAUGGAUGAAAAGGGCCGUCAUCCCUCCGGCCACUUUGCUUUUCCUGUGUUUCCCCAGUUUCCCUGGGGUCGGGCCUCCGAUGUGGGUUUUCCGCCUGCAUCUGGGGAAUCUCCAUAUGGGUCUAUUGCAUUUUAAACAAGUCCUGGGACUCUGCUGGAGUGGUCCCCUGGCUGGGAGCUGCCUGCGCCUGGGGUCCUGGCAGACGGGAGCCCCUCCUGCUCGUCCUGUGGGCUACAUGCCUCCCCGGGCUGUCUGCAGCUGUGCCACCACUG